AGACCUGGUUCUGAAGAGGGUCGGGAAACCUGCAGGCGGGCGGCUCACCGUCCCCCAACUCAGGCUCAGGCUGGGAGAGCAUCGAACCCUUUGAGGAAUCCAGAUUCUGAAAGGGCUUGAGGCUAAGACGAGGCGGAGAAGAGGCGGCCUGACGGGAGCAGAACAACUUUUGAUUUUUAGUACUACUUAAUACGCUCUCCUCUCUCCCCUUCCCCAAAACAACUUUCUCUUCCGGGGUCAUGCAGGACCGCCCCGAAGCGUACCUUGCGCGCUGUGGGCGCCAGGAGCUACGCGAUUUGAUGUUUUGAGGUAUCUGCACCGCCCUCGCUACUUCUUUCUUGGCCACUUGUGUGCUAGCUGAUCGCGGUAGCCCCAGAAGUGUGAGCGGACGCUCCAAGCCAAGCCUUGCGCCCCCGGCCCCUGCUGUGCCCUCUGCCCCGCAGGCACCGCCUGUAGGCUUUGUAACCUUGGAGCGUAUCUUCAGUAAUCAUUGUUCUUCUACAGUCAUAGAAAACUGUCCUCUUCAUACCAACAAAAACAUAGGAAUCUAAGAGUCUGCAAGAUUCUCCUGGACGCGGCUGCACCCGGCCAGGAACCCAAGUAGAGAGCGAGCUGGCAAAGGAACCACAUGGAGCAGCCCAACAAAGAGUUCCACCUGGAAAAGAAUUGAAAACUACUGACAACAACUACCAAGGAACCAAGGCUUCUUGCAAGUAGCCCUGGCUGUAGGACUUGGAAACCAAUCCUUCUGCCCCAAGCAAGCUUUCAAGUGACUACAGCACCAGCUGAUAGCUUGACGGAAGAACCUUGACCCAGGACCACUCAGCUAAGCUGCUCCCCAAUCUUAAUGCUCAGAAACAGUGUAAGACAAUAAAUGUUUGUUGCUUUAA